rnacentral:tRNA from 1 species
GCCUUCGUGGUGCAAUAGUCAGCACACUCGAUGCAUAUUCGAGAGGUCAAAGGUUCGAUUCCCGGCGACUGCA